rnacentral:rRNA from 1 species
UACAUAGGGGGCGAGCGUUAUCCGGAUUUAUUGGGUGUAAAGGGUGCGUAGGCGGUAAUACAGGUCUGUGGUAUAAGCCCGAAGCUUAACUUCGGUUCGCCACAGAAACCGUAUAACUAGAGUAUGGUAGAGGCAAGUGGAAUUUCUAGUGUAGCGGUAAAAUGCGUAGAUAUUAGAAGGAACACCAGUGGCGAAGGCGACUUGCUGGGCCAAAACUGACGCUGAGGCACGAAAGUGUGGGGAGCAAACAG